rnacentral:rRNA from 1 species
UAAGGUGGUUAUAGCAAUGGGGCUCACCUCUUACCAUUCCGAACAGAGAAGUUAAGCCCAUUAGCGCAGAUGGUACUGCAGCAAUGUGGGAGAGUAUGUCGCCGCCUUUUUUAAUUAAGUCCUUACUUUUUAAAGUAAGGACUUUUUUUAUACCUGAAAU